GUAGGCAACAGAUGGCAUUCAUCAUAGAAUGAAACUGAGCAUACCCCUCCCAGAGCCAUUUCCAAGGAUCCCCUCCUCCCUCCACCUCCUUUCCCCUUCCCCCACAUUAGGUCCCAGUCACCUAACCUCACGUGGAAAUAUCAGAGCCAGCAUGCCCUACACCCAGAGGUUUGGUUGACUUCAGAGAAACUUCCAGAGGCUAAGAGCACUGAAAGGAAUUAACCAGUGCAUGUGGGACUGAAUGAGCAGAGCAGUGAACUGAGACUGGGUGGGGACCCAGGAGGGGCAGACAGUGGAGUCCAUAUGCACUGUGAUUAGAAUAGCAUAACAAAAAUGUCCUGGAGCAGGGUUGAGCAGCAAAGGCUUUCCUCCCAUCACAGGGGCAGAUGCUCUCCCGAGUCACACAGCGAAAUGUCACCUUACUCAGUUUGCACAACAUCUUCAAUUCUCCCAAUGACUCUUAAUUUAUUCAAUCAGGGACCAAGCUAUCUCAUGCCAGCCUAGCAGAUGUACUACAACAGGCUGAGAAGAAUUCCUCCAGAGAAGCAAGUAGCAAAAAUCGGAGUUGUUGCUCUCUUAAGACUGAGCAGAGAGAAGGAUCAUAACUCUCAUGUCCCCACCCCUCCAUCAGAUUCUAGCUAAACAGAUGUUUUCCUGCUUUUUUUUAUUUUCUGCUUACUGACACCCCUUCUCAGUGACAUAUGAAAUAUGAAAUGUCAUGUAGUGUUGUGAGUUUGUACAAAUAUAAAGAAAUACCAGGGCAUACACAGUAACAAAAGGAAAGAUCCCAUUUGCAAAUAUCUGUGGUGUCUCCUUGUUCUGUAUUGAUACGUCGUAUUGAUAUAAAUUGGCUUUUCUUAAUAUAGCUUUACCCUCGUCAUGGUGGCAGUGUUGGGAUGUGCAUUAAAGUUCAUCU
rnacentral:lncRNA from 1 species